AAUCAACGCUGGCGGCGUGCCUCAGACAUGCAAGUCGAACGAUUAAACUUUCCUUCGGGGAAGAUAUAGAGUGGCGCACGGGUGAGUAACACGUAAGUAAUCUACCCUUGGGUGGGAAUAACAUCGGGAAACCGAUGCUAAUACCGCAUAAUGCAGCGGCUUCUUAUGAAGACAGUUGUUAAAGCAUUUAUGUGCCUGAGGAGGAGCUUGCGGCAGAUUAGCAGUUGGUAAGGUAUGGCUUACCAAGGCGACGAUCUGUAGCCGACCUGAGAGGGUGGUCGGUCACACUGACACUGAAUAACGGGUCAGGACUCCUACGGGA
rnacentral:rRNA from 1 species